rnacentral:rRNA from 1 species
GAGUGGCGGACGGGUGAGUAAUGUCUGGGAAACUGCCCGAUGGAGGGGGAUAACUACUGGAAACGGUAGCUAAUACCGCAUAACGUCGCAAGACCAAAGUGGGGGACCUUCGGGCCUCACACCAUCGGAUGUGCCCAGAUGGGAUUAGCUAGUAGGUGGGGUAACGGCUCACCUAGGCGACGAUCCCUAGCUGGUCUGAGAGGAUGACCAGCCACACUGGAACUGAGACACGGUCCAGACUCCUACGGGAGGCAGCAGUGGGGAAUAUUGCACAAUGGGCGCAAGCCUGAUGCAGCCAUGCCGCGUGUAUGAAGAAGGCCUUCGGGUUGUAAAGUACUUUCAGCGGGGAGGAAGGCGAUGUGGUUAAUAACCGCGUCGAUUGACGUUACCCGCAGAAGAAGCACCGGCUAACUCCGUGCCAGCAGCCGCGGUAAUACGGAGGGUGCAAGCGUUAAUCGGAAUUACUGGGCGUAAAGCGCACGCAGGCGGUCUGUCAAGUCGGAUGUGAAAUCCCCGGGCUUAACCUGGGAACUGCAUUCGAAACUGGCAGGCUAGAGUC